rnacentral:rRNA from 1 species
GUUUGAUCCUGGCUCAGGACGAACGCUGGCGGCGUGCCUAACACAUGCAAGUCGAACGAGGUCCAUCGAGUAGCAAUACGAGAGAAGAUCAAGUGGCGAACGGGUGAGUAGCACGUGAGCAACCUGCCCCGAAGACCGGGACAACACCGGGAAACCGGUGCUAAUACCGGAUAUCCCCACCAAAUCGCAUGGUUCGGUGAGGAAAUGGAUUCCGCUUCGGGAGGGGCUCGCGGCCUAUCAGCUUGUUGGUGAGGUAACGGCUCACCAAGGCUUCGACGGGUAGCUGGUCUGAGAGGACGAUCAGCCACACUGGGACUGAGACACGGCCCAGACUCCUACGGGAGGCAGCAGUGGGGAAUCUUGCACAAUGGGCGAAAGCCUGAUGCAGCAACGCCGCGUGAGGGACGAAGGCUUCUGAGUUGUAAACCUCUUUCAGCAGGGACGAUUGUGACGGUACCUGCAGAAGAAGCCCCGGCCAACUACGUG